GAAGACCCUGUAGAGCUUCACUUUGGUCUAGUCUUGUAUAGUUCCUGCGGGGGUGUAGACUAGGUGGGAGAGCAAUCGAUUCUGAAAAACCACUACCCUGUUUGGAAUUAUGCUUACCUAUCACAAGGAAUAGGACUAGAUAGAAAGUUUGGCUGGGGCGGCACACCUUCGAAAGAGCAGCGAAGGUGUCCUAAGUUGAGCUCAGUGAGGACAGAAAUCUCACGUUGAGGAUAAGGCCAAAAGCUCAAUUUACUGUGCCUUUUUGUACUAGGAUCAGUUACGAAAGUAAGGCCUAACGAUCCCUAAAUAGCCUCAGGUGCGUGAGGAUUGGGGUGACAGACAAGUUACCUCCGGGACAACUGGCUUGUGGCUGCUAAGAGAUCAAAUCAACGCAGCUUUUUGAUUCUUCGAUGUCGGCUCUUCCUAUCCUAGUGAUGUACAAGUUGCUAAGGGUCGGAUUGUUCACCCGUAUUAGGGAUCGUGAGCUGGGUUUAGACCGUCGUGAGCCAGGUUUGUUUUAUCCUACUGGAUAUAGCAUCAUGAUAGUAGAUUGAUUUAGUACGAGAGGAACUGUUGAUUAUGGCCUCUGGUUAGCGAUUAUCGGAAACGGUAUGUCGCGCAGCUACGCCGUCUGGGAUAAUGGCUGAAAGCCUCUUAAGCCAGAAGCCCAUCUAGAAAGUGAUGCACGUGAUGUUGGACCGAUACGAAUAAUCAUACUCAAAAGGUCCGCUUCAUAGGUAACCCAAUGUAGAAGACAUUGUGUGAACGAAGGUACUGUAAGCAGUGGAGUGGCAUUACGUCCACGACCUGUUGAGGUUCAGCUUCGCUUCUAGGUUUCC
rnacentral:ncRNA from 1 species